CAGUCGCCACGGUAAUACGUAGGUCCCGAGCGUUGUCCGGAUUUAUUGGGCGUAAAGCGAGCGCAGGCGGUUAGAUAAGUCUGAAGUUAAAGGCUGUGGCUUAACCAUAGUACGCUUUGGAAACUGUUUAACUUGAGUGCAAGAGGGGAGAGUGGAAUUCCAUGUGUAGCGGUGAAAUGCGUAGAUAUAUGGAGGAACACCGGUGGCGAAAGCGGCUCUCUGGCUUGUAACUGACGCUGAGGCUCGAAAGCGUGGGGAGCAAACAGGAUUAGAUACCCCCGUAGUCCCUGUCUCUUAUACC
rnacentral:rRNA from 1 species